rnacentral:rRNA from 1 species
UACGUAGGUGACAAGCGUUGUCCGGAUUUACUGGGCGUAAAGAGCGCGCAGGCGGUCGAUCAAGUCGAGUGUGAAAGCCCCCGGCUCAACUGGGGAGGGUCAUUCGAUACUGAUCGACUCGAAGGCAGGAGAGGGUAGUGGAAUUCCCGGUAUAGUGGUGAAAUGCGUAGAUAUCGGGAGGAACACCAGUGGCGAAGGCGACUACCUGGCCUGUUCUUGACGCUGAGGCGCGAAAGCUAGGGGAGCAAACGGGG